UCGGGAAUUUUGGGCAAUGGGCGCAAGCCUGAUCCAGCCAUGCCGCGUGAGUGAAGAAGGCCUUCGGGUUGUAAAGCUCUUUUACCAGGGACGAUAAUGACGGUACCUGGAGAAUAAGCCCCGGCAAACUUCGUGCCAGCAGCCGCGGUAAUACGAAGGGGGCUAGCGUUGUUCGGAAUUACUGGGCGUAAAGCGCACGUAGGCGGAUUGUUAAGUCAGAGGUGAAAUCCCGGAGCUCAACUUCGGAACUGCCUUUGAUACUGGCAAUCUAGAGUCCGGAAGAGGUUAGUGGAAUUCCCAGUGUAGAGGUGAAAUUCGUAGAUAUUGGGAAGAACACCAGUGGCGAAGGCGGCUAACUGGUCCGGUACUGACGCUGAGGUGCGAAAGCGUGGGGAGCAAACAGGAUUAGAUACCCUAGUAGUCCCUGAGCGGGCUGGCAAGGCGCAU
rnacentral:rRNA from 1 species